rnacentral:rRNA from 2 species
AAGACCUAGUAAUAGGUAUGCUUUAGGAGGGGCUUGCGCCAUAUUAGUUAGUUGGUAGGGUAAUGGCCUACCAAGACGAUGAUGUGUAGCUGGACUGAGAGGUUGAACAGCCACAUUGGGACUGAGACACGGCCCAAACUCCUACGGGAGGCAGCAGUAGGGAAUUUUCGGCAAUGGAGGAAACUCUGACCGAGCAACGCCGCGUGAAUGACGAAGUACUUCGGUAUGUAAAGUUCUUUUAUCAAGGAAGAAAAGCAAAUGGCGAACCAUUUGUUUGCCGGUACUUGAUGAAUAAGCCCCGGCUAAUUAUGUGCCAGCAGCCGCGGUAAGACAUAAGGGGCAAGUGUUAUCCGGAAUUAUUGGGCGUAAAGGGUGCGUAGGCGGUCUAGUAAGUCAGUGGUGUAAUGGCAACGCUUAACGUUGUCCGGCUAUUGAAACUGCUAAACUUGAGUUAGAUAGAGGCGAGUGGAAUUCCAUGUGUAGCGGUAAAAUGCGUAAAUAUAUGGAGGAACACCAGAGGCGUAGGCGGCUCGCUGGGUCUUAACUGACGCUGAGGCACGAAAGCGUGGGGAGCAAACAGGAUUAGAUACCCUGGUAGUCCACGCCGUAAACGAUGAGUACUAAGUGUCGGGUUAAACCGGUACUGAAGUUAACACAUUAAGUACUCCGCCUGAGUAGUACGUACGCAAGUAUGAAACUUAAAGGAAUUGACGGGACUCCGCACAAGCGGUGGAUCAUGUUGUUUAAUUCGAAGAUACCCGAAAAACCUUACCAGGUCUUGACAUGUUUUUGCAAAAUGAUAGUAAUAUCGUGGAGGUUACCAGAAACACAGGUGGUGCAUGGUUGUCGUCAGCUCGUGUCGUGAGAUGUUAGGUUAAGUCCUAAAACGAGCGAAACCCUUAUCGUUAGUUGCCAGCACGUUAUGGUGGGGACUUUAACGAGACUGCCAAUGAUAAAUUGGAGGAAGGUGAGGAUCACGUCAAAUCAGCAUGCCCCUUAUGACCUGGGCUACAAACGUGAUACAAUGGCUGUUACAAAGGGUAGCUGAAACGCAAGUUCUUGGCCAAUCCCCAAAAACAGUCCCAGUCCGGAUUGAAGUCUGCAACUCGACUUCAUGAAGUUGGAAUCGCUAGUAAUCGCGAAUCAGC